rnacentral:tRNA from 3 species
AAUAAUUUUGGAUCGAGGCUCCUGAAUAUUCGACGUUGAUAUCGUUGGCAAUAUCAACAUUGGUGAUGGCCGUUCCGUACCGUGAAUUAUUA